AUUGAACGCUGGCGGCAUGCUUUACACAUGCAAGUCGAACGGUAACAGGGUGCUUGCACCGCUGACGAGUGGCGAACGGGUGAGUAAUGCGUCGGAACGUGCCGAGUAGUGGGGGAUAACGCAGCGAAAGUUGUGCUAAUACCGCAUACGUACUGAGGUAGAAAGUGGGGGACCUUCGGGCCUCACGCUAUUCGAGCGGCCGACGUCUGAUUAGCUAGUAGGUGAGGUAAAGGCUCACCUAGGCGACGAUCAGUAGCGGGUCUGAGAGGAUGAUCCGCCACACUGGGACUGAGACACGGCCCAGACUCCUACGGGAGGCAGCAGUGGGGAAUUUUGGACAAUGGGCGAAAGCCUGAUCCAGCCAUGCCGCGUGUCUGAAGAAGGCCUUCGGGUUGUAAAGGACUUUUGUCAGGGAGGAAAUCCCUAGUGCUAAUAACACUGGGGGAUGACAGUACCUGAAGAAUAAGCACCGGCUAACUACGUGCCAGCAGCCGCCGUAACAC
rnacentral:rRNA from 1 species